CCUUACAGUAUGUUCAUCCAUUUGUACUGUUAAAACUAGCAUGGUUGACAAAAUAACCAAACAGUUAUACGUGACAGAUCAUGUGUACAUCAUGUUAAUGUAUAAUGAUAUGUUUUCAAUAAUAAAAAUGGAUGAAAUUUUUAAUA
rnacentral:pre_miRNA from 1 species